rnacentral:rRNA from 1 species
GACGAACGCUGGCGGCGUGCCUAACACAUGCAAGUCGAACGGAAACGCCGGGCUUUGUUGGGCUGCGCGAGUGGAGACGUGGGGAGUAACACUUAGGUUACGUGCCAUUGACUUUAGGAUAUGUUCAGAAAAGUUAAUCUAUUACGGGCAAGGAUUUCCUGCCUUGGGAUGGGCCCUCGUUGGUUUCGCCGGUUGGUAGGGUAAUCGCCUACCAAGGGCACGUUCCAUAGCUGGUGUGAGAGGAUGAUCAGUCACACUGGGACUGCGACCCGGCCCAGAGUCGUACGGGAGGCAGCAGUGGGGAAUAUUGGACGAUGGGCGAAAGCCUGAUCCAGCAAUGCCGCGUGAGUGAUGAAGGCCUUAGGGUUGUAAAGCUCUUUUACCCGGGAUGAUAAUGACAGUACCGGGAGAAUAAGCUCCGGCUAACUCCGUG